rnacentral:piRNA from 1 species
UGCAAGGUGUUACCAAAAGGUAUUUACAG